AUUGCUCUGCCUGCUCCCGCCGCUGCUGCCUUUGCUCCCGCCCAGAGCCGCUCCCGGCAGCUCCGUUCUCUCGGCGCUGCCGCGUGCUUUCGGACUCUUCCUCACUCAGCAAACACGCAGCUCGCUCUCGGCAUGCACCUCGCAUCUCUCAUCCUCAGCGUCUUGCUGGCCCGGCUCCUGGGCGCCACGGGGCAGGACACGGUCACCCAGGAUGAUGGACCAGUCACGGUGAAGCAGGGACACUCCUUCCACACCACCUGCAAAUACCCGUGCACUAAUUUUGGGGGAUUGUUCUGGUACCAGCUGCACAAAGGCCAAGCCCCGCAGCUGCUCUCCUAUCAAGCAGGGAGUGGCCCCAAGCACAGCGGCCGGAUCACCACGCACCUGAACACCACGGGCAAAUCCAGUGUCCUGCAGCUGGAGGAAGUGGAGCUCUCUGAC